GACGAACGCUGGCGGCGUGCUUAACACAUGCAAGUCGAACGGAAAGGCCCUGCUUUUGUGGGGUGCUCGAGUGGCGAACGGGUGAGUAACACGUGAGUAACCUGACCUUGACUUUGGGAUAACUUCAGGAAACUGGGGCUAAUACCGGAUAGGAGCUCCUGCUGCAUGGUGGGGGUUGGAAAGUUUCGGCGGUUGGGGAUGGACUCGCGGCUUAUCAGCUUGUUGGUGGGGUAGUGGCUUACCAAGGCUUUGACGGGUAGCCGGCCUGAGAGGGUGACCGGCCACAUUGGGACUGAGAUACGGCCCAGACUCCUACGGGAGGCAGCAGUGGGGAAUACUGCACAAUGGGCGGAAGCCUGAUGCAGCAACGCCGCGUGCGGGAUGACGGCCUUCGGGUUGUAAACCGCUUUCGCCUGUGACGAAGCGUGAGUGACGGUAAUGGGUAAAGAAGCACCGGCUAACUACGUG
rnacentral:rRNA from 1 species